GCUUUCUGUUGUAGCAAAGAAAAACUACUAGAAUCAAAGAAAAUUGAAAGAGCUAAGACAAUGUCAUAUAGAGUUUAAAAUAGAAAGUAAAUUGAUUUUGCAUGUGGGAGUUUGAAAGAAACUGCUGAAAUCACUAGGAAAUCCUCAUGGUGCAGCAAUAUUCCUUUGAUUACUGUCAUUUUAAUAAGGUUGAUUAAGAUGUAAUUUAUGUAAUUUAUACUUGAGAAUAUUUGUAUUGGUUGUGUGAAUUUAAUUUGUACUUGAGAAUUUUAAUUUGUAUUGGUUGUGUGAAUGUAAUUUG